UCCGCCAAAGUGAUCGCAAGUGAAAACGCAAUUUUCCACCAAACUAACGUUCCGAGUUAUUGUGUUCUCGCUGCGAGCAGAUGCUGUUGGGCUGAUAGACGGAAAAUCGUAUUCUUGAUGAGCAUCGGCGAGAGAUUUGUUGAGGUGCGUUUUUCGGCAUAUGUUUGUGUGAAACGAGAUUUUUCACCACCUCCCGAGAUUGUUACCUUGAGGAGCACCGGCUUCUCGCGACACUGUGCCGUAUGAAGAUUUGUUUCAGUCGACAGUGAACCACGACGACGAAUGUGAGAAGUUUGCCCAUUGCUUGCUAGCACAAAGCACUUUUCCUUGCGAAAUUCUAACCGACUGAUCAUCAUCGAUCAAGAAGAAAAAUCUUUUCAACAAGCCAUAGGCGAGUGAAGAAGUAAAAAAAGGCUAAGCACCGUGCGUGCAUGCAGGUGGAAAGUUUUGUGUGCGGAGGUGUGUAACGAGUGGCGAUCGCUGAGGUGUCGUGCACGCUUUUUCAUGCAGAGCAAAGUGAACAGGGGUAACUAGAGGAUUGUCGUAUUCUAGCGGUGGCGGGCGGUGUGUUGAACGUGAUCACCGUUUUUGUGGUCCAACGCCCACCGGUGAAAAUCCCCCGUUUACCCUUUGGACAUCCUCUUGGGGAGCCUUCACUCAAUCCAUCAGAAGGAAGCGCAGCCUGCAACUUAUUUCGUCAUUAUAUAAGUUUUUGUGGCAUAGUAUUCAAGUUUAAAACCACAUAUAACAAUUCUGAUAGAACCGAAAUCGUCUCGUUACCUUGCGGCUCCGUAUAGGGAAAACAGUAACCAGAUGUGUCACAAUUUUCGUUAACUGGACCGACUAGCGUGCUUUCUUGUGGAAAACGUGAAUUUUUCGCGUGUCAAAAAUCGUUGAAAUUUUACCAUUCAUUCUGUGGAGUGAGAAUCUGCAGCAAGGAGUGUCCCCGAAGUAUUCAGAUGUGCAGAGAUAAUUUUGGUAACUGCCAGAGUGCCAUCAAGUGGCGGAAAACCGCGGAAAAGUCGCUCGAAAGUAACCGUGAAAUGAGUCACUACCAGUUGCCUGCUAGUCAGUCAGUUAGUCAGCGCAGUGACCAAAUGAGUGAGUGAGUGAGGGUCGGCUCUAUGUCCGAGACAGUUUCCCUCGAAAGAAAGUACACAAAUUAUAAAUCUUGCCUGAACGUCUUAAAUAAUCGCACGUAUCAGACACGGCUUGGCGGCCGUUUCGGCGAGAGGGCUAUUUAUCGCGGAAUCAGACACAUUUUGAAAGCAAUUUGUGUGUGUGGAUGUGUGUGUAAGUAAGGAAAGUGUAUCAGCAGAAACCGCCGAAGCUGUGGUUCUUUUCUUUUUUUUGCGAGUGAGAAAUAAAAGCAGUGGUAACAGUGGUGGUCUGUGGCGGGGGAAAAUAAAUCGGGGAUACCCAUCGUCAUCAUCCCGUCAUAGCCGUCAUUAGAAGAACCAUCGAAACCCCGUACCGCUGGUGUGGAAGCAAAGCAGCGUACCAACUCGUGAGGUGGCGGCAAAUUGCAGCAGGAAAAACUGACAACGUGUAGAAAAUUUGAUUCAGCCGACGCGCCGUCAAACGAAACUUGCACUCGUUUUGCGGCUACUGAGAAGUUCGCCCGCUGAGUGACAGUUUUUUUUUUGCAGCAGCUCGGAAUACAAAUCUAAAUCAUCACUUCCCUGCAAAAAGUAAUGUAAUUCAACUAACGUCAGUCCUUAGUUCAAUUUAGUGUCUUCAAAAAUAUGAAAAGUGAUUGUUUGAUGUUUGAAUCUGCGAAGGUUUUCUGUUCCCCCACGUAAGUGAUUAAAAGCGCAGAUGAAGUGAAAAAGAGAAAAAUCAAGUAUUUAGUUGCUUACCAUUUGAUUGCUGAUUGAUUAUUUUUGUUCGACGCACGUUCCGCGCCCGGAAAAAUCAUGAAGAAAAUACUUGUCAUUCAUCAGUACCGAUCGACGAAAAAAUUUAAAUUAAUAUUGAAAAUUCGAGCCAAUCGAUACCGUGAGGCUCCCUAGAGAAUUUGACGAGCAGAAUUUGGAGUGCAUUCCCCUGCGUUGGGCGCAUUUGGCACCCAACCUUAGUGCAGACUUUCGAAAGGAAACUGCAUUUAAACAGGGAAUCUCGUCACCAACAGAGCCAGUAAUAUAGUAGUGGCGGCAGUGGAAAUUAAAACGGUUUGGGCCCCGUUCCUUCUAGAAGCGGUUGGUGCUUAGGGCCUAGGCAACCAUCCCGGCCCCUCUAACACCGGACGCCAUGUACUUGCGCAAAUGGAGUCCCAUUAAAUAUUUAAUGUACUUAUGGCUAGCAAUUCUCGUGUGGAUAUUCUGUCGGUGUGAAAGUGCCGCCACGAUGCACUUGGCAACAGCCUCAUCGUACGCCAGUAGCAGUAGUGUCAUUGAUGAUGGUAGUAGUAGCAGCAUCAGCAGUAGUAAUAGUGGUAGUAUAAAUAGUAUAUCGAAGCUGUUUCCCAACGGAAACCGCAUUCGGGUGGCGGCAGCAAGUCCCAAAAGUGAUACUAGUGAGUUAGUGGAUUCCACGAGUCCGCACCAGUGGCGCCCUCCACGAUGGCCAUUCACACCAAAAUCGACUAGUCCGCGGUCGACGUCCGAAACCACUUCACACUUUACCAAAGCUGCCAUCAGCAGCGAUCGCCGACGGCCGCCAGUUCAAGUGGCAGAUCUUUCGAGCUAUCGUCCAAUUAAUUACGCUAAUCGUGUGCUUGUGGAAACGGCCAAUAAACAGCUGAUAAAUCCCAUGCACUUGAAAGAUCACCAACGUCAGUAUCAACAUCAGCAACAAGAGCAGCAGCAACUGCCGAAACUGCCAGCUAGCCUAAGUCAAUCCACUGCAAACCAUGAUAGUCCCAAAAACAACAGCAGUAACAACAGUAGCAGUAGUAGUAUCAAUAGCACCAGUAGUAGUACUAGUAUUAGCGUUGAAAGUGCCUCACAAGCGGAGGUACAACUGCAGUUCCAAUGGCGGCUGCGUAUGAACCAAAAACGAGCACGGCGACUUGCCCAUCGCAUGCAGUUAAGGGGAUCUACUUCAGACGCUUUGACCCUUGCAAAUCGCAACCGACGUGACUCGGCGCGUCCAGGCACAAUUGGCUCCCAUAGCGGUUCACACCUAACCCAGCAGCCAUUUCGACGCUCGGGAGGAGCAGGAGGUGGACCUGGACCAACUCGCCGUUACUGUUCGGCUCGGGAUCCAGCCAGUCUAGCUUCCGAGGUACCUAUCGUAUUCGAGGGUAAAGUGAAAUCCAUGAGCAGCGACCGACGAGCCAACUUUUCAGUGACUUUCGAAAUUGUGGCUGUCUACAAAAAGCACACCAAGUUCUACCUGCCAAACAAUGUGCGACUGCAGUUUUCCUAUCGGAACUUUAGCGAGUGCGACAUCCUCCGGGAAAUAUAUCGUGAGAGGGGCAUAGUGCGUGACGAACUCGAACAGGGCAAAGUGUACUUUCUGUUUGUGAAACAACUCGAUCUUGGCAACUUCUCCAUUUUCGGGCAACCAAUCCGGAAGACCAGACGCACCACCAACGGAGUCCUAGAUGGGGUUAGUGACAAAUAUGGUAAACCCCCGGAGAUAUAUUCCAUCUCACCGAACGUGACGCGGCAGGAGGGAAAACGGGUGCGUCUGGUGUGCAAGGUGCGGGGGCAGCCGCCUCCCAAGGUGACGUGGUUUAAGGACAAGCGUUCCAUCAAUCGGAAUGUGACAAAAUAUGCUCAAGUACACCUCAAAAAACGAUCCGAGCUCAUCAUAAAUUCAGUGAUACCCAGUGACGCUGGAGAAUACGAAUGCAGAGCAAAAAAUAAAUAUACUAAAAUUUCCAAUUAUACCCACGUUCGAAUAACGGCCAAAUAUUCGAGCACCAAGCAGCCAAAGCCGACACACUCGACAGAAUCUCCGCACUAUCCUCCACCUUGCCGAGGGCAAGGAGCUGAACACUUCUGCCUCAACGGUGGCUCCUGCAUACACUUUGAGGAAAUUCUAGAGUGGGCAUGCAGGUGCCCGAAAGGCUUCUCGGGUCAAAAGUGCGAAAACAAAGACAUCGACUAUCAUCCAACAACGUCCAGUAAGCACCAGGAUUGCUCCUACGGUUACGGAUAUGGAGGUUACUAUUGCUAAAAUAGGCUUCAUAACACCAAUUGUUGAAUUAACAAAUUAGACACACCGACCAAUCGUCAAACACAGAACUUGACAACCCACCUCUCAACCUUCCUCUGUCCCACUUCGUCCAAAUAAUCUCCGAGAUCCCUCCGCUUAUCACAUAGGCAAAAUCUUUUACACAACAAUCAUCAUACUUAAUUCACUCCUUGAAGGCCCGUUGGGAGAAAUCCGGACCCGGAAAAAAGUAAAAGAGAUCCGUGGGUCCGGAAAAAUUUUCCUUUCUCUCCCCCACUCUCAUCGGGUCUAAUUUGUCGACAAAGAGGUUCUGUUUUAAACGCCGCCCGCUCGAAUUAAACGAAUGACUGCGUUAUAAAAGAGAUCCUUUCUACGUUAUAUCAACUCACGAAGGGAAUUUACAAUUCAACCUUAAAGAAUGCCAAAAAUUAGCUUGUAGUUAGUAUUGUUUCUCUAUGACCAAAACUAUUAGGUACGUUUCUAAUUGCACCCUUUUCAAUAUUUGUAAAUAAUGGAAAACGAGUCAUGUUUUCUUGUAUGAUAAUACAGAGAAAGAGUCUUUGCUUUAUUUAAUUAUAAAGUUAUAGUACAAAUUUGUGUAUAAUGUGUAAAAAUACUAUUUAUAUUUGAUUAUUGAUAAAUUUUAUCACUAUAACAAAUGCCAAAUAUUUAUAGCUCGAAGAAAACAUUCCAACAAUCUUGGAUAAAUCAUUGCAACUAACAUGAUGAGAGAAAAGAGAUAAACACUUAUGUUUUGCAUCAAACCGUUCGACCAAUCAAACCGAUACUCACUUUUAUUAGAUACUAUAAUAGUCCAACGAAGCGUAGCGAAAAUUGUUCCGUUCAGUAUACCCACUACCGGACCAACCAGUGUCAAAUACUCGUAAAUUAAACUUUAACAAUUGAUAUUAUAGGAACUGCCUUACUAGAAAUGCUGAAUUUUUAUUAGUGUUGUUGUUUUUAUUUAGGUUGCUUUUCUCAAAGUCUAACUUACUGGGCGAGUUCUCUAGUUUGUUCAAACCUUCACGAAACGGUAGAAAAAAAAUAACCUGGAAGUUUAAGCAAACAGAGAGUAUGUCUUUUUAGCAUGGAUGAACUCGCGUUCACCAGUUUUACAGUCAUUGGUUUGUUUGCUGCCUGUAAUUCGAUUAGUCGGGUUCCAGAUCAUGAAUUCCUAUAAACUAGCAAUACUCAGAGUGAGGGAUAGGCGGAGAGAAUGUUGUGGGCCAAACGAACUGGCAAAUACUGAGCCAAACAAUCAAGAAAGGUAACGACAACCAAAACUUGACUUCAUUGGCUGUAUGGAUCACCUAUGGCAAAAACAUCAUAUCAAGAAGACUAAGAACUCUGCCUGAAAUCGAGCGACAGUUCUGGCAGCACAGUCUAUUGAGUGCAGGUGGAACUGACGCAUGUUAGUAUAUGUGCGAAUGCAUUCGAAUGCGAUGUAAUUACUAUCACUUUCAUAACAGGCUACCACUGUUUGAUUAGACGCUUGUCUUUGUAUCUAAGGAGAGCCAACUGGGUAUAGAUUUGCAUCCACUUUGGGAACCACUCGUUGAAUGGCUGAAAUUGAAAACUCCGAGUGCGCCUAAAUUUACCAUCAGGCUUAUCGUUUUGAUUUUGGCAAUAUUGCUGGGUGGCAUAUUUCCUUUGUUUUGUUUCAUGGUGUGGUAUUUACGGUUUCGCUUCUUACUAAAUAUCUAGAAUAUUCAAGUGAAUAUUCGAAAUGAAGUGCAAAGCGUACAAUUGCCGACGUAGUAAGAGGUCUCAUCGGGUUUAUCACUUCUACCGUUUUCCAAAAGAUCUAGAAGUGCGCAAGAAUUGGAUACGGCUUUGCGUGAAGCACGAAAGCGACAUACCGUUGUUUAAUGUGACUGCCGGAAGUAGAUUGUGCAGUGUAAACUAAAUUCUACUAUUGAAUCCGUUGUGAAUUAAAUUUUGAAAAUACCCACUUGCAGGCACAUGUCCGUGAAACGAUUGUAAAGGGACUUAAGGUUCGCUUCGCUUGUGGAGGUGGCUACGAGAAGCUAAUAGAAAAAGGUUUUCCUUAUCUUCCAGUAGGACGCUUACGCGACAUGUUGAGAGGAUUCAUUAUGAUACCGGUAAACUAACUUGUUCUAAGUGUUAUUAGAACAUUUAGUUAAUCAAAUCCAACAAUUGUGAUGUUCAUAGGAACCCUGGAAGACAUUUUUAUAUUGCAACAGAGCAAAGUAGCAACUAUGACCAAGGAAGAUAGGGACUGCAGGAUUAGCUCGAUGAAUUAAGUACGGAGGAAGCACGCGUGUACUGCUCAAGCAAAGAUCAGGUAAUCGGAACAACUAACUUCCCUCGAUCAUCUGUUAGAUAGCUCACGUCGAUUGGAGAUUAUCCCUGAUGCAGUGCACGUUUUUAAAAAAAUAGUCCACGGAUGGUUGAACAAUGUUUACCUGACCUUACCAGAGUGGUAUAUUGAGCUCAAGAAACUCCCAUCCAGUAUUGUACACCGGGACCACUUGAAGGAGCUUGUCAGUUAUGAGCAUGGCAACCAGUUGAACGCUAAAGGAAUAUACGCUAAAGGAAGUAGAUGUUAAUUUCGAAGCAAAAAUGUCAUCUGUUGAUAAGAUGAAGGUAUCAAACUCCACUAAAUUUUGCAAUUUAGAUAACGCAAGUACUCUUCGGUUUGCAGCCUUGGAGAAAAAAAAUCCUUCGCUACUAGCCACUGCAGCUUAUCUGGAAGAUAUUACCCUUUGAUAUGCAAUGAUGACCAACCGCUCUGAAGACGUAUCGCUGAGAUUGAAUAACCCUGAUUACUACAAAAGCGUGUGUGAUCAUUUAAACCAAACUUCCCAGUUGAUACAUGACGUAAGAGUUGGGGCACUAGGUCAUUGGAAACCGUGGAAAUCAGCACUUACAAUGUGCACACAAACUGUGCUAAGGCAGAGCGACCGUCUUUUGAAGAAAGGGCACAAAAUAGUUUUAACAGCUAAGUUCAUACAGGAUUGCCUUGAAAGUGUGUUUUCGUUGGUCCGUUUCAAACAGCGUCGUCCGACAUCAUUACAAUUUUCACAAAUUCUGGAGAUCAACACAUUAACGCAGUAUAUGACAAAGGUCCAAUCUUCCUAUUACAUGCACGAUCAAGAGCAAGAGUUUGAUGGAUUUGAUGAAGUUGCGUAAGAAGAAAUUGCUGAAAGAUAAAUUCACUGAGUCCAGUGAGAUUCUACAACCACAUGAAGAAGACAACACCAGGUAAGACAGGAAAACAUUAAUAUAAAAAGGUUGAAAAAUAUGUUAGUUUUUCACUUUUUCAACAACAGGGUGCAAUCGAAAACAAAUUCUGAAGAAGCAAUAUGUUACUAUUUAGAUUACGAAUCUUUGAUCGCAGAAUCUAAAGAACUGUUGGAUGCGCUCGCAUAUAUGUCGGAAAAUGGCCACGCGUCCGCUUACAUGUCAAAAAUGCCUGAAACACCUGCUCCAGCCUCAAUACCUCGAAAAUAAUUCCUCUAAUUUUACUCGUAUUCGCGGGAGGAAGGGGUACUACAAUAUCUCAAAACGGAUAUUUGAGUUUUUCCGAGUGAUGGAAGUAUUAUUUCGAAGCCCAAAGCUUCGAGUCAGGAACAUCAGGUACAAGAAAAAAUUCUAAAGGAGGUGGAACUUCUUCCAAGUCAUUUAUUUAACCACGAAGAAUUCAAAGAUGUACUGGUUAGAAAAAUUGUGCAAUUCCGUUUGAAAACUGGCGAAGCGAAAAACCGCGAGAAAAAAUUUGACAGCAGAUACAUGCCGUACUGAUUUCACUUGUUUGACAUUCUUAUCUUGUUUUUAAAUAAUUUGGUAUUUUUAUACCUAAAUAAAAAAAACCUUUUUACCAACAGUCGUCUGCCUUCAUUUCGUUCUAAUAGAUAUUUACACACCAAUAAUCAGCUUUUACGCAGCCUUUAAUGUUCUUAGAGUACAUUUUUGUUUCAUGUUAUUUAUUUACCUAACGUAACAUUAUUUUGAAAAUUAGCAUUAAAAGCAUUUAAUUAUAUUCCGUGCGAAUGGCAUCACUGCGUAGCGUAGCACGCCAUCCAGAAAAAAAAGAACAACAGGGCUAUGGAUGUGCGAGAAGAAGAAAAAUAUAAAAAUUAAUAAGAUUUGAUGGGAUCGAUCCAGAGAUACCAGUCUCCUUGAUAUGAUGUUUUUGCCUAUGGUGCCAAAAGCAGGGAAAAGAAAAAAAGAAGGGUAAUAAAGAGGUAUUGUACUAUAGUUAGGUACAAUAAAGGAACACCUCCUUUUAUACACCUUUUUAUACUAUUUUCUUAUUUCAUUGCCAAACAAUGAAUUAAGAAUGCUAUAAAAUUGCAUUAUUACAGUUCUUUUUAACCGAGAGAAAGUGCAUAAAAUUGAAUACAUAAAAAUUUACACUUUCACGGUUUUUGUGAUGCACUUUAAUAUUUCCCUGGACUUUUAUCAUUACAGGUUGUACCAGUUGAAUCAAAAAGUUAGUCAAUAAUGCGCUUUGAGAACCUGGAACCCAGUUGCCAAAUUGGCGUUUUUCAUCGCCUAUCUCUCUCACUCUGUCUCUCUCUCUUUCUGAUGUUGAAUUCGUUUUUUCGCAGUAUAGCUACAACGUCCCGGACUACACUUCACAGCUUGAAAAAAAAAACAUUUUCUGUGUAGUUGCAUUGGUAUGCGUAACAAUAGGGAUAGCUGUCAAUUUGUUUUGAUUGGUCAUUAUCGCCAUCGUCAUUUUGUCUCGUUUCCAUUUUAGAUUUCCAUCUCGCAAAUGUGCUGAAAAAAAAUUCACCUGACACUUUACCACGUGGAACGAGAACCAAAACAAACCAGUUUUUUUUUGUAAGAUUUGGACUACUGCGACCAUUAUUUUGAUCUUUUGUGGUAUACUUCUUCUUUAGUCUAGGUACUCGUGGCAGACAUAUCACUAUUGAUGGAAGUGAUCGUCGUUGUCAUAUCGCACCCUUAAACAAACAGUUUUGACACAUACGUGAAAAUGUGUUGGUAACUCACAAAAAUACACUCUGCUCAGUUCGGGGGUAGUCCGGGACAGAAAAAGUGUAGUCAGAGAGAGAUAAAAUGUAGUCCGGAAAGUGAAAAAAUAAUUUAGGUAGAAAGUGUAGUCCGAGUGUAGUUACACCGCGAAAACGAGUUCGACAUGAGUAUUUCUUCUGUAAACAUACUUCAGACCGAUGUCAAAAUUAGAGUCUCAAUCACACUCUAUACAACCAACAGCUGUCAAUCGGUUUGUUUACGUGUGUAUUUAUUUACUGUUGACACCUGUUGUAAUAAAAAAGUCAAACCCGUAAAUUCGCUAUGUGCGAAAAAUAUCAUUACGUUUUCCGUAAACAAACUCAAAUUUAUCUCUGGUUUCUACACGCAAAAGUUGAAGUCUUGCACAAUCAAUGUGUCUUCCGGAUUCGCACAAAUUUUGCACUGAAAUCGCACAAUAAAGGUGUGAAAUGCAUAACGCAACAGUUGUACUGCGAACACAUUGACAUGGAUUGAAAUCAGAAUAAUAUCAUAUACACCAGAAUCGUGAUGUUCCGGUAAACUUCAGUUUCGGGCGAACGAUCAUUUUAGGACGCUCGACAAAUCGUGCUUCGUUUUCGUGCGCCGGUUGAUAUGAACAACUUGCUCAUCCCUCAUAAUACUCUGCAGCUUAAACAACUUUCAGCGAUCCAUGUUCCCCCACACAACUUAAUGACGCUGGUGCCAGUAACGUGGAAUCAUAGGCAGAUGAAUAAAACCAGAAUCAUAGAUAAAUGCAAAAUGUUUUGAACAAACUUAAUGUCCUUUUAAUUGUUAAUGAUUCAAUGAUGGUUUUGAAUGACCGGAUUCAUGAAAGUGAACCGAUCAGUUAAUAUUUUCUUUAAUCUAGUCAGUACUCAAAGUAUCAGUAUUGAUUGCUGGUUGCACUGUUUCAAAGAGAGCAACCUUAUGAAAAAUAUUAUCAACACCAGUACAAAUCAACAUGACGAUACUAACACCAGUUGAAACGGAGCGGAGCAGAGUUGAGAGCAUGAUUUGCGUUAUGCCCAACACGCAAUCAUUGUACUGGUUUCAAACUACAUCAAUGCGCUAAAAACGCACAAUUUUGUACUGGGUUGGCACCAUCCAACUUUUGCGUGUACAAUCAGUUUUUAAUUUUUUUUUAUGGUUUUUCUUUUUAAUUGAAGAGAAAAAAUGUGGUUGUAAUGCUAAUCUUAUUUUUCUUUAAUAAAAUAAUCCUCAAGACCUUUUUUUUGUAACGAAGCUUUCCGGUCAAAUAGAAUAUGGCGUUCUAAUUUGUAUCAUUUGGAUGCUUUGCUUAAAUAUCAAUUCCAGAAAUUUUAUCUAGAUUUCAAACGCGUUGUCUUGUAAUGAGUGCAACUUGUAGCAUUUAGUUUUAGGCCGCAGAGUAAUUGCUCGACGGGUGCGUCGCUUCUACGUUUGCUUAUAAUAAAACUUAUAUCUUUAAAGACUUUUUGAACUUCCGAGGUAGCUAAGGACGCCACAAUUCACAGAAACGAUUAAAAUGUUAUAAUCUUUCAUUUUUUUCAGUUUGAGCUCUAAGGCAAAACUAAUUUUGGUAUUUCUGUACUCCUAGCCAAAUUAAAAGUGUGUUAAGUCUUCAGAGACUCAAAUGAAGCAAUUAUUCUGUGACUUUUUGACGGACUUCUAUCUUUGCUAGGGGCACCAAAUUUUAUUUGUUUGGUUAAAAAGCUAUGAUCACAGACUAACAGACAUAACACAGUACUUUACGUUAGUAACACUAACACCGUCUGCUGCCGUGUUCGCGCUGCGUCUCGUAUUGCGACAUCAGCGCUAGCGUACAUCAAAUUGGGAAGCACAAAAUACGUUUGAGAUUGCAUGACUGCGCCAUAGACGGUUUUAUCGCCCGAUGACUUGUCGAUUGGAAAUUUGAAAUGAUCGUUUUUUGUGGCGAUGGAGCUGAGUACUAAUGUUACGUCUGUUAGUCUGUGUUAGAAUCUUUCUUUUUUUCCAAUAUGAGUUUUAGAGCCAUUUUUAGCUUUGUUAUCUACCUAUGCAUAAACUAAAUUUAAAUAAAAAAAAAUCAAAAGUGUCAGAGACUACAGAGAUAAAUUUCCAGUUGCAGAAACCAUAACAAUUUUUGACAAUUUAUUGUUUUCUUCAAAACAAGCAUUAUUCCGAAAGCUGCAGAGCAUAACACUGACAAGAGUGUUAGUAAUAGUUUCAAGUGAAUUACUCCCUAAAAUACCUAAAUCUAAAACAUUUUUGAUUUGAAUUAAACUUUGUAUUUGCAUUCGAGUUCUAGAGAACAUGAUAUGUGUGAUAUGUGUCUACAGGUAUUUGGGUCAGUUUGACUCAUGCUUUAUUUUUUUAAAGGGUGUACCGGUUUUAGUAGGUGUAUUAGGUAUUUGGUAUUUGAAAAAAAUAUUGAAAUAUUGUCUGAAGUUAUGGAAAACUGAUUUCUAGACAUGGAAAAGGUAUACGCUGAAAAUAUAAAAUAAUAUUCAAUAGUGAAAACCUAAUUUGCAAAAAUGAGCAAUUUUAGUUUUUUCAAACUUUACCAAGUAUGAAUUUUAUUUAGCUUUUUAUUAGAAAAUCAUGUGUUCUCUAGUCGAAGCAAAUUCAAAGUUUCAUUCAAAUCAAAAAUACUCAUGUUUUAUCAUUUACCUAUUUCGCAUAGAGAUGCACUUAGAUAAAAUCGUAAAAAAUGAGUGUUUCUGUCACGCUGUAUUUCCUGGCUUCUUUACAACACACUCAAAUUUGGAUUAUACUUUUUUUCUUUCUGGUGUUCUAUAAUAAUUUUGACUAUUAUCGUAUCCCGAUGAAUAGAAAGCAUUUGUUUAUUCUCCAGAACAAUGGUGCUGAGAUAUUACGCUUGCUUUCUCUCAGCCAAUUGAAACAUAUUCCGCGCUACUCUUUCUCCUUAAGCGGUAUAAUAUACUUAUAAUGAAGCAACUCUGACUUCGGUUACCAAAAUUUUAACUAUCUAGAUUGUAAAGAUUGAAAGAAAAAUAACAUAAAGCAACAAAUAAAAAGGCCAUUAAUUAUUCCGCGAGGAAGAAAAAUCUAGAUGAUAGAACACAAAGUCGAAUAAAUAUUCUGUACAUAAAAUCUGUAAGUAUUAUCCUGCUACAUACACUACUCUAUGUUGAAAAAAAUCUACUCGAGCGGGUUUUAAUCCUUCGGCUGAUGUUGCAUUGAAGGCGAACGAAGAAGGAAGAAAGAGUGAAUGAUCGCGCUGAACAUAAGAGAAAGGAAACUUGUGCUAUGUGCUUAAAUCAAUUGUAUAGUCGAAUUUGUAACAAUUUUUGUUAUUUUAAAAAAGUAAAAAGAAGAAAAGGGCUAAUUUAUUGUGCUGAAAUGAAAUCUCGAUAACGAGUUUAGGAAUUUAAACUAGAUUUAAAAAAAUGGCCAACCGCAGUCUGCUCCUGAGCGUCAGCAACUAUCUAGCAAACAUUGACUUGAAAAUUAAUAAAUAUUACUCAACGAAUAUAUACUUUUUUGUUGUUUCCUCAGUUUUUAAAUAUAGAAUAAAGUUGUAGUUGGUUGUUGGUGAAACCCCUAGUUCGAUUGAAGUACAAUGAAGAGCGUGCAAAACAUUAAUCAAUGAGCAAUAAUCCCGCUGACAAUGUUUUUUUUUUAGCUAAACAGUGAUUCUCAACUUGUACCAAAAACAAUAAUUUAUUAUUUUCCUUGCGUGCCAAAAGGUAAAGAGUAACUUUGAGAAACUUAACUUAGUUUCUGGUUAUGUAUCCAAAAUUAUUAAUUUUAACCAAAAAAAUAUUACAAAAUCAGCUCAACCAAGUAGCAGUAGUUCAAUGACCAUUACCAAAACUUCAAGCUCCAAACAAUGAUCUCAAACAAGCAAGACGCAAUACACAAACUAUGAUUACCUUAUUAAGACCUCUAGCCACUAACUGUUCGCUUUCAGCUGCCGCUCGUCACACUCGACCGCAAUCCUUUCUGGCGAUGACUUUUCAAUUCCCUCCCCACACUUGCACAGUGCUCUGUUUUUCUGUUGUCUUUCCGCUUCCCUUUUCCUACUGGUUUUGGGGUUUCUCACAUUCACAUUUUAGCGCUACACUACUGUUUUCCUAGGCUGCGUUUUCUGGAUUGCGAUUACCUUCUGCAUCAACGGCUCCCGUCACCUUAAUUUAGUUUUCUUAACUCUCUCGUUCGGCCGAUUAUACUUUCAAGCAUACACGCAUUCACGAUGGAACCGAAAAAGAACACCGUUGUUGUUGGGGGACUUAAGCUCAGACCGUGCCGCUCAAGUCGACACGGUCUACCAACAAUCCGAUGCACCUGCCAAAACGACAAAGCAGCCGAAACCAGUGGCGAAAAACGAAAAACUCAACCUGACCGAAUUCAGCCCCAGGAAGGUGACCUCUGAUGUCAUGGUGAACCUGGCAGGCAAGCUUCCCGGUGAUCGACAUCCUUUUGUGUGUGAGAACCAACCUCCGCCUAGAUCCGCUGCGAAUGGGUUUUCGGCCAGCCCACUUAGUUUAAGGUCAUCGGGAGUGUGCCGACUUUCUACUGAUGGAUUCACCGGUGGCCAUGCCAGUGCUGCCACCGCUCUACGAUUACGACGAUGAUAGCGACAUCUGAAUGCCACGAUUAGCAACGAUUGAAACAUACAUCAGUUCCUUCAGUCAUCCGAAAACGACCGCGAAACAUAAGAAAACGUUGAAAUAAUGUAUUGCAAGCAGUAAUGUGAUUGCAAAUCGAAGUAUUUAUACAGACUAGGACAGCAGCAUCCUACGCAACAGCAAAGAUCUAUGUACUUUCAAUAAAAUUCCAUUCGAUGUAAGUAACUCGUUGUAAACCUACAUACAGUUCAGUUCAAAGAACACAUUCACGCAUACAUGGAUAAGUUAACAAGAUAACGCUGUUCUAAACUGAAUGAUAAACAAAAAAAAUGUUGAAGAAAAACCAAAGAUGUAAAUAUCAUUGUACUAGUUGUAAUAAAUUAUUGACUUGAAAUAAAG